CUCUGUUUAGACUUCCUUCCUAAAGAACUUUCCUAUACAGGAUUGCCUUCAGAGGGCCCGUGGGUUGGAUAACUCCAUUCCCUCCAGCAUUUCUUCAAUGAAAAUAGGGAGACCCUAAGGAAAAGCGAGACAUUCUGGGAUCAAAUCAGAAACCAGGACGGCUUCUCUAAAUCAGGGACAUCCCUGGAAAAUAGUGGCACUUGGAGGGUUUGUCUUUCCCUGCUUUUUCAUUCGCUGCCUCUGGUCUCCUGCAUCCAUUUAGCAGAGGAGGGGAGCGGUUUUGGCCUUCAUACUUCUCCACCCCCCACCCCCAAUAUAACCAAAAGCACAAUAUAACCAAAAACACACACACCAUUUGGGAGUGAGGACCAAAAAAAAAUUAAAAUAAUCGUUUUAUUAUUUUAUUACUUAUUUUUUGCAGUUCAAUCUACUGUAUCUAUAAAUUUUAUUGUUUAUAGCCAAUGGCCACCACUAUACAAGCACAAAUCACACAGCUGCAAAACAAAAGACAUUGCAUGCACCAGACCAGGAUAAAUCUAUAGCGUCCAAAAUUUAUUUCCACGGUUGUUUCAAUGGGAAGGAUAUAGGGCAGCAGAGUCCAGGUGGUGAGGUCCAGAUUACAGCUUCCAUCAUCCUUGACUGUCUGCCCUGCUGGCUGAAGCUGAUGGGAACUGGACAACAACAUCUGGGGACACCUCAAUGGCUAUGCUCUGAUAUACAGAAUCUACAAAAGAUUAAGGCACUGAUCCAGAAGACAAUGAACUGCGAAUAGCAAGUGUAGCUAGGAGGAGAAUGCAUUGGCAGCAGGGUUUGGAAGCUGUUCCCUGACACAAAUCCCCUUAUUUCCUCCUCUGGAGAUCUGAGGUCUACAAAGCAAUGGGUUGUUUUAUUCAGAAUAAGCUCACUGACAUCAUAAUCAUCUCCUCUAUGGGUGCCGCUAAGUGCCCUCUGUCUUUGAGCUUUUUGCUCUCCUAGUUUUAAGGCUCGCUGGUUUCUCUAAGUCUGGGGAAAGUGCUAAGGAUGGUGGUUUAAUUUCCAUAAAUGAGAAUGUUUUAAGAUGGAGUUUCCUUUGACAGUAGUCCUCAUUUGUGUUAGUCACAUGAGGGAGGCAUUCCAUUCUGUUGAGACUGUUAUUCCAGUAACUGUUGUUUUUAACUGCUUUUCUGUUCUUUUCUCUCUCUGUGCAUGAGGGAGAAGUGCUGCUGAGAGAGAUGUCUCAGGAUACUAUUGUGUGUCAGUGUGAUCUGUCUGAAGUGAAACAGUGGAAGAUCACUAAAUGCUGAUCAAAAUUACUGCUCAAAAGUUCAAAAACAGAAUUACUGCUGAGGUGAAAGUAAAAACCUUUUGUAAGAAACUGUAAGACAAUUCAAGUGAGAACAUGCCCGUGUUUGAAUAAGCAUGAGAUUGUAAAUAUAUUUUUCUCAGUUAUAUGUUUAUGAAAGUAAGGUUCUUUUGAAUACCAAGAGUCUGGACAUUGUAGUCUGUAAAAAGGAACUAUCACCUAGAACAGCUAUUUUGCUUCUUAGCUAUAAGCUACUCUGUUACUUUGGAGAUCAUCAAAAUUCACACACAGACAGACUAUAAUGUUGCAUACAGUAUAAGGUUGGGGAGUUGAGAAGUGGGGAUAGAGGGGGGGAGGGGGAAGUAAACUUUCAUUAUUUUACAGAGUGCAUAUCCAAACUUUUUUUGUCGGUGACACAUGCAUAGGUUCUUCUUCUAUUCAUUCAUUUUCAUUGGCAGUGAGAAAGAUCGGGCCCCCAGGGCAUAGUUGGUUGCCUUCAGUUGACUGCAGUGAAGGGAGAACCAAUUGGAGGAACAGAUUGUUGCAAUUCUUGGAAAGGGAUGGAAAAGAGCACGGCUACAUCGCGGUUUGGUCUUUCAAGUACUUGUUGUUAAAUACAGUGGUACCUCUGGUUACGUACUUAAUUUGUUCCAGAGGUCCGUUCUUAACCUGAAACUGUUCUUAACCUGAAGCACCACUUUGGCUAAUGGGGCCUCCCGCUGCUACUGUGCCGCCGCCACAUGAUUUCUGUUCUCAUCCUGAAGCAAAGUUCUUAACCCGAGGUACUAUUUCUGGGUUAGCGGAGUCUGUAAUCUGAAGCGUAUGUACCACUGUACUCUGUGAGUUGAGUGAGGCUGAGAGACUCCAGAGAAGUGUGACUAGCCCAAGGUCACCCAGCAGCUGCAUGUGGAGGAGCAGAGACGCGAACCUGGUUCACCACAUUACAAGACUACCACUCUUAACCACUACACCACACUGGCUGGAAAAAGGGGAAGUUCUUUUCUUUGCAUUAAGUUGUGAAAAAUAAAGCAAUAAAUUUUAAAGACAACCCUUCUUUCAAUGCUUUCUUUUUAAAGCAAAAAAAGAUGUAGUGCCAUAGUUUGAACA